CCCUUAGAUGUUCUGGGCGGCCCGCGCACUACAAUGGCGUGUGCAGCGAGUGCCGAAGUAGAGUUUUCCGAGGUAUUCUUGCAAUGCUCGUUUUGAUGGGGAUAGACCCUUGCAACUGUUGGUUUUGAACGAGGAAUUCCUUGUAAGCAUGGUUUAUCAUCCGACGCUGAAUGCGUCCCUGCCCUUUGUACACACCGCCCGUCGCUCCUACCGAUGAGUCGUCCGGUGAAGUUCGUAGACCUCGUGAUCGCGGAUCACUGGGGGAAGCAAAAUGAACCUCGCGGUUCAGAGGAAGGAGAAGUCGUAACA
rnacentral:rRNA from 1 species